UACGUAGGUGGCAAGCGUUGUUCGGAAUUACUGGGCGUAAAGGGCUCGUAGGCGGCCAACUAAGUCAGACGUGAAAUCCCUCAGCUUAACUGGGGAACUGCGUCUGAUACUGGAUGGCUUGGAUUCGGGAGAGGAAUGCGGAAUUCCAGGUGUAGCGGUGAAAUGCGUAGAUAUCUGGAGGAACACCGGUGGCGAAGGCGGCAUUCUGGACCGACAUUGACGCUGAGGAGCGAAAGCCAGGGGAGCAAACGGG
rnacentral:rRNA from 1 species